rnacentral:rRNA from 1 species
AGUCGAGGGGCAGCAUCAUCAAAGCUUGCUUUGAUGGAUGGCGACCGGCGCACGGGUGAGUAACACGUAUCCAACCUGCCGACAACACUGGGAUAGCCUUUCGAAAGAAAGAUUAAUACCGGAUGGCAUAGUUUUCCCGCAUGGGAUAAUUAUUAAAGAAUUUCGGUUGUCGAUGGGGAUGCGUUCCAUUAGGCAGUUGGCGGGGUAACGGCCCACCAAACCUACGAUGGAUAGGGGUUCUGAGAGGAAGGUCCCCCACAUUGGAACUGAGACACGGUCCAAACUCCUACGGGAGGCAGCAGUGAGGAAUAUUGGUCAAUGGACGAGAGUCUGAACCAGCCAAGUAGCGUGAAGGAUGACUGCCCUAUGGGUUGUAAACUUCUUUUAUACGGGAAUAAAGUGAGCCACGUGUGGCUUUUUGUAUGUACCGUAUGAAUAAGGAUCGGCUAACUCCGUGCCAGCAGCCGCGGUAAUACGGAGGAUUCGAGCGUUAUCCGGAUUUAUUGGGUUUAAAGGGAGCGUAGGCGGGUUGUUAAGUCAGUUGUGAAAGUUUGCGGCUCAACCGUAAAAUUGCAGUUGAUACUGGCGACCUUGAGUGCAACGGA